rnacentral:snoRNA from 1 species
AGCCUUUGGUACUUAGCCCAGGCUAAGCUCUUACACUGGCUGUAUAGAAAGAGGAAGCAGAGUAGACCUUCCCAUUAUAUAUGCCUAGUAUGGGGGGAUGGAAAAUAUUU